AGGUGUACUUUAAACGACACCUUUUAACACAUAGUUUCUAAAGAAUUUAAAUGUGCUCAUUAAUUUAAACAACAUUUUUUAAUGGACACAAACCGUUUUUACAUGGAACAAAUUUCUCUUUAAGAUACGGGAAAUACCGAUCAAGGCAACAAGAUGAACUGCGUUUUGCUAUAACUCGAAGAACAUAAACUCAAUGAUGGCAAGAGUAAUGGGCGACUAAGAAGAGCUUGUAUUGUUCGUGCGCCCAUCUGCGGCGAGUCCCAAGAAAUAAACGAUGGAGCCGAAGUGAAGGGAAAGAAGUGGGGGAUGGUAAUUAAAGCCGAAGAUUACAAGAAGGCGGACAAUGAUGGCAAAGAAGCCAAACAUCAAACGGAAGUUACAAAAAAAUAUAUCAAAAGAUGAAAUGUGUAUUUCAUUAGUUCCGGAAAACGCUGAUAGAACUCCGCUUAGGGCAAAACCCAUCUAUACGCUAUAGUCUGGUAGACAUUUUUGGGCAUCGGCUUCUGUGGCCAUUAGCCUUACUUCACUUUUCGAAUUGGCAUAUUUUGACGGUUAUAGCCUAUUCAAUAUACCGA